rnacentral:miRNA from 1 species
UAGUCUCUUCCCUUGAGUGUAG